rnacentral:rRNA from 1 species
UACGUAGGGCGCAAGCGUUAUCCGGAAUUAUUGGGCGUAAAGAGCUCGUAGGCGGUUUGUCGCGUCUGCCGUGAAAGUCCGGAGCUCAACUCCGGAUCUGCGGUGGGUACGGGCAGACUAGAGUGAUGUAGGGGAGACUGGAAUUCCUGGUGUAGCGGUGAAAUGCGCAGAUAUCAGGAGGAACACCGACGGCGAAGGCAGGUCUCUGGGCAUUAACUGACGCUGAGGAGCGAAAGCAUGGGGAGCGAACAGG